rnacentral:rRNA from 1 species
AACGAACGCUGGCGGCAUGCCUAACACAUGCAAGUCGAACGAGACCUUCGGGUAUAGUGGCGCACGGGUGCGUAACGCGUGGGAAUCUGCCCUUGGGUUCGGAAUAACAGUUGGAAACGACUGCUAAUACCGGAUGAUGACGUAAGUCCAAAGAUUUAUCGCCCAAGGAUGAGCCCGCGUAGGAUUAGCUAGUUGGUGAGGUAAAGGCUCACCAAGGCGACGAUCCUUAGCUGGUCUGAGAGGAUGAUCAGCCACACUGGGACUGAGACACGGCCCAGAAUCCUACAGGACGCAGCAGCGGGGAAUAUUGGACAAAGGGCGAAAGCCUGAUCCUGCAAUGCCGGGUGAGUAGUGAAGGCCUUAGAGUUAUAAAGCUCUUUUACCCGGGGAGAUAAUGACAGUACCGGGAGAAUAAGCUCCGGCUAACUCCGUG